UGCCCCAUAGUCUGGGAUACCACUUGGAAACAGGUGCUAAUACCGGAUAAGAAAGCGGAUCGCAUGAUCAGCUUUUAAAAGGCGGCGUAAGCUGUCGCUAUGGGAUGGCCCCGCGGUGCAUUAGCUAGUUGGUAAGGUAAAGGCUUACCAAGGCGAUGAUGCAUAGCCGAGUUGAGAGCUGAUCGGCCACAUUGGGACUGAGACACGGCCCAAACUCCUACGGGAGGCAGCAGC
rnacentral:rRNA from 1 species